rnacentral:snoRNA from 12 species
UGAUAUGAUGAGGUGUACUGAGCAUGAUGAAGUGUAGCUCAAUGUAAGUACUCUAAAGUCC